rnacentral:rRNA from 1 species
CCUACGGGAGGCAGCAGUGGGGAAUUUUGGACAAUGGGCGAAAGCCUGAUCCAGCCAUGCCGCGUGCAGGAUGAAGGCCUUCGGGUUGUAAACUGCUUUUGUACGGAACGAAACGGCCUUUUCUAAUAAAGAGGGCUAAUGACGGUACCGUAAGAAUAAGCACCGGCUAACUACGUGCCAGCAGCCGCGGUAAUACGUAGGGUGCAAGCGUUAAUCGGAAUUACUGGGCGUAAAGCGUGCGCAGGCGGUUAUGUAAGACAGUUGUGAAAUCCCCGGGCUCAACCUGGGAACUGCAUCUGUGACUGCAUAGCUAGAGUACGGUAGAGGGGGAUGGAAUUCCGCGUGUAGCAGUGAAAUGCGUAGAUAUGCGGAGGAACACCGAUGGCGAAGGCAAUCCCCUGGACCUGUACUGACGCUCAUGCACGAAAGCGUGGGGAGCAAACAGGAUUAGAUACCCUGGUAGUCCACGCCCUAAACGAUGUCAACUGGUUGUUGGGUCUUCACUGACUCAGUAACGAAGCUAACGCGUGAAGUUGACCGCCUGGGGAGUAUGGCCGCAAGGUUGAAACUCAAAGGAAUUGACGG